rnacentral:rRNA from 1 species
AUUGAACGCUGGCGGCAGGCCUAACACAUGCAAGUCGAGCGAGCGGCGGACGGGUGAGUAAUGUAUGGGGAUCUGCCCGAUAGAGGGGGAUAACUACUGGACACGGUUGCUAAUACCGCAUACUUUCGGAUGAACCCAUUUGGGAUUAGCGAGUAGGUGGGGUAAAGGCUCACCAAGGCGACGAUCUCUAGCUGGUCUGAGAGGAUGAUCAGUCACACUGGAACUGAGACACGGUCCAGACUCCUACGGGAGGCAGCAGUGGGGAAUAUUGCACAAUGGGCGAAAGCCUGAUGCAGCCAUGCCGCGUGUGUGAAGAAGGCCUUCGGGUUGUAAAGCACUUUCAGCGAGGAGGCGUUACUCGCAGAAGAAGCACCGGCUAACUCCGUGCCAGCAGCCGCGGUAAUAC